rnacentral:lncRNA from 1 species
CAUUUUCAAGUACCGUAAUUUAAUCACUGUGGAGUAAUAUAACAAAAUUAAUGAUUUAAAUUAAAAAAGCAAGAUGAACAAAAGAAUAUGACAUAAAAACCGGGGUACAUUUUAUCCAUUUAUAAAGGAUAAUUUAAGCAAUUCGAUCUAAUUAAAUCAGUGAAAGACAAUGUUUCAUCCUAUAUUAAAGACUAUGCUUAAAGUUAAAGAUAGAAUUCAAGAUUUUCUCAUACAUACUUCAUCAUGAGAUACAAUACACACACAUGAAUGCAUUUGAUUUUCAUGGAAGUUCCGUAGACCCUCUCUUUUUCCCUAGUCCUUCUUCUCCUCCAAUUCCUCCGUU